rnacentral:rRNA from 1 species
UACCAGCACCCCGAGUGGUCGGGACGUUUUAUUGGGCCUAAAGCAUCCGUAGCCGGUUCUACAAGUCUUCCGUUAAAUCCACCUGCUUAACAGAUGGGCUGCGGAAGAUACUAUAGAGCUAGGAGGCGGGAGAGGCAAGCGGUACUCGAUGGGUAGGGGUAAAAUCCGUUGAUCCAUUGAAGACCACCAGUGGCGAAGGCGGCUUGCCAGAACGCGCUCGGACGGUGAGGGAUGAAAGCUGGGGGAGCAAACGGG